rnacentral:rRNA from 1 species
UAGUCCACGCCGUAAACGAUGAUCACUCGUUGUGUAUCAAAUUAAUGGUACGUGACCGAGCGAAAGUGAUAAGUAUCCCACCUGGGGAGUACGUUCGCAAGAAUGAAACUCAAAGGAAUUGACGGGGGCCCGCACAAGCGGUGGAGCAUGUGGUUUAAUUCGAUGAUACGCGAGGAACCUUACCAGGGCUUAAAUGCAUAAUGACAGGUCUAGAGAUAGACUUUUCUUCGGACAUUUUGCAAGGUGCUGCAUGGUUGUCGUCAGCUCGUGCCGUGAGGUGUCAGGUUAAGUCCUAUAACGAGCGCAACCCCUGCCGUCAGUUGCCAGCAAGUAAAGUUGGGGACUCUGACGGGACUGCCGGUGCAAACCGCGAGGAAGGUGGGGACGACGUCAAAUCAUCACGGCCCUUACGUCCUGGGGCUACACACGUGCUACAAUGGCCGGUACAGCGAGCAGCCACUUCGCAAGAAGGGAGCGAAUCUAUAAAACCGGGUCACAGUUCGGGAUCGGGGGUCU